UACAGAGGUCUCAAGCGUUUGUUCGGAUUCAUUGGGCGUAAAGGGUGCGUAGGCGGCGCGGUAAGUCGGGUGUGAAAUCUCGGGAGCUUAACUCCGAAACUGCAUUCGAUACUGCCGUGCUUGAGGACUGGAGAGGAGACUGGAAUUUACGGUGUAGCGGUGAAAUGCGUAGAUAUCGUAAGGAAGACCAGUGGCGAAGGCGGGUCUCUGGGACAGUUCCUGACGCUGAGGCACGAAGGUCAGGGGAGCAAACAGG
rnacentral:rRNA from 1 species